UCCUCAAGCAUCUUUGCUUGGUUGUGGAGGAAGAUGGUCUGUUGACCAUCCCCUCUAGAAUUCCUCAGCGGAGACCACAGCAGACUCAGGUGUGAUAAUACUACCUCGCUUGAGUGCUAUUGUGGGCUUCCGCUGGAAACCAGCCCCCAGCUAUUACUAUGUUUGACCUCGGAUCAGGUAGGGAUACCCGCUGAACUUAA
rnacentral:misc_RNA from 1 species